AAGUGUUUGGCCGAGAUCGUGAGUUUUUAUCAAAUGACCUCAAAUCAGGCAAGAAUACCCGCUGAACUUAAGCAUAUCAAUAAGCGGAGGAAAAGAAACUAACAAGGAUUCCCCUAGUAACGGCGAGUGAAGAGGGAAGAGCUCAAAUUUUAAAUCUGCCUUGUUCCAAGGUCGAGUUGUAAUUUGAAGAAGCGUUUUCUUGGGCUCGCGGCCGGUAGAAGUUCUUUGGAACAGGACAUCAUAGAGGGUGACAAUCCCGUCCGUGACCGGUCGUGCGUUCAUCUACGAUACGCUUUCAAAGAGUCGAGUUGUUUGGGAUUGCAGCUCCAAACGGGUGGUAAACAUCACCUAAGGCUAAAUAUUGGCGAGAGACCGAUAGCGAACAAGUACCGUGAGGGAAAGAUGAAAAGAACUUUGAAAAGAGAGUUAAACAGUACGUGAAAUUGUUGAAAGGGAAACGAUUGAAGUCAGUCGUGCUGGCGCGAAAUCAACCCUCUCGUCUUGAGAUCACAUGGCGCGACGAGCCUCAAAACCGUCACGAAGCGUGAACUCUUGACGAAAAGGUGCACUUUCGUGUCCGCUGGUUAACAUCAAUUUCGAACGUCAUAAAAAGGCUGGAGGGAUGUGGCUCCUUCGGGAGUGUUAUAACCUUUAGCGGAAUGUGGCGUUCGGGAUUGAGGAUUGCAACGAAUACCUUCAGGGCUGUUCCACCUGGCUUCUCAUUGGUAUCCUGGUGACGACAGCUUGCUGACGUCGUUUGGAUCAGCUUCUGAACAGGCUAGAGUGUGAGCAAAUUCGUUAAGGAUGUUAACGUAAUGGCUUUAAACGACC
rnacentral:rRNA from 1 species